AUGGCUGGGACCCCACUCCUCUUCCUCACCCUCCUGCUUCAUUGCACAGGGUCCCUCUCACAGCCUGUGCUGACGCAGUCUCCCUCUGCAUCUGCCUCCCUGGGAGCCUCAACCAAGCUCACCUGCACCCUGAGCAGUGCUCACAGCACCUACACAAUUGAAUGGUUUCAGCAGAGAGCAGAGAAAAGCCCCCGGUUCGUGAUGAGAGUGGGCAGCAGUGGCAUGGUAGGAUCCAGAGGGGAUGGGAUCCCAGAUCGCUUCUCAGGCUCCAGCUCUGGGGCUGACCGCUACUUGACCAUCACCAACGUCCAGGCUGAGGACGAGGCUGACUACUUCUGUGGUGCAGAUUAUAGUGGUGGGUACUACACAGUGGCAAGUGUGAAUGGGGAACUGAGACAAAAACUCUGUCUGCCUUACAACCACUUCUGA